rnacentral:rRNA from 1 species
GACGAACGCUGGCGGCGUGCUUAACACAUGCAAGUCGAACGGAAAGGCCUGCUUUCCCUUGUGGAUUGCGGGUACUCGAGUGGCGAACGGGUGAGUAACACGUGAGUGAUCUGCCCCCAACUUGGGUAUAAGCCUGGGAAACUGGGUCUAAUUCCCGAUAGGACUGCAGGGUGGUGCCUGUGGUGGAAAACGAUUUUCUAGUGGUUGAGGAUGAGCUCGCGGCCUAUCAGCUUGUUGGUGGGGUAAUGGCCUACCAAGGCGGCGACGGGUAGCCGGCCUGGGAGGGUGGACGGCCACAUUGGGACUGAGAUACGGCCCAGACUCCUACGGGAGGCAGCAGUGGGGAAUAUUGCACAAUGGGCGGAAGCCUGAUGCAGCGACGCCGCGUGGGGGAUGACGGCCUUCGGGUUGUAAACUCCUUUCGACCGCGAGGAAGCCACCUGGUUGGAAGGGUGGUGACGGUAGUGGUAGAAGAAGCACCGGCUAACUACGUG